rnacentral:rRNA from 1 species
GUGGGGAAUCUUCCGCAAUGGACGAAAGUCUGACGGAGCAACGCCGCGUGAGUGAUGAAGGUCUUCGGAUUGUAAAGCUCUGUUAAUCGGGACGAAAGAGCCUAGUGUGAAUAAUGCUAGGAAGUGACGGUACCGGAAUAGAAAGCCACGGCUAACUACGUGCCAGCAGCCGCGGUAAUACGUAGGUGGCAAGCGUUGUCCGGAAUUAUUGGGCGUAAAGCGCGCGCAGGCGGAUCUGCCAGUCUGUCUUAAAAGUUCGGGGCUUAACCCCGUGAUGGGAUGGAAACUACAGAUCUAGAGUAUCGGAGAGGAAAGUGGAAUUCCUAGUGUAGCGGUGAAAUGCGUAGAUAUUAGGAAGAACACCAGUGGCGAAGGCGACUUGCUGGGCAGCAACUGACGCUGAGGCGCGAAAGCCAGGGGAGCAAACGGGAUUAGAAACCCGUGUAGUCC